rnacentral:rRNA from 1 species
AAUUAGUUUCUUAAUUGGAAAAUAGAAUGAAUGAUUUUAUUAAAUUUAAUACUUUUUAAAAAUUAAUAUUAAAUUUUUAUUUUUAGUGAAAAUACUAAAAAUAAUUUUUUAGACAAAAAGACCCUAUGAAACUGUAAUUAUAAAUUAUUAUAUAAUUAUUAAAUUAAUUAUUUUUKGGGGAAAAAAUUAAUAAUAGUAUUUAUAUAAUAUCAAAUAUUUGAUCCUUUAGGAAAAAUGAAAUAGUUCCUCUAGGGAUAACAGCAUAAUAUUUAAUAAAGUACAUAUUUAAUUAGAUGU